rnacentral:rRNA from 1 species
GAUGGGUGUGCGGCUGAUUAGAUAGUUGGCGGGGUAACGGCCCACCAAGUCGACGAUCAGUAACUGGUGUGAGAGCACGACCAGUCACACGGGCACUGAGACACGGGCCCGACUCCUACGGGAGGCAGCAGUAAGGAAUAUUGGUCAAUGGACGCAAGUCUGAACCAGCCAUGCCGCGUGGAGGAUGAAGGUCCUCUGGAUUGUAAACUUCUUUUAUUUGGGAAGAAACCCAUCUUUUCUUGGAUGGUUGACGGUACCAGAUGAAUAAGCACCGGCUAACUCCGUGCCAGCAGCCGCGGUAAUACGGAGGGUGCAAGCGUUAUCCGGAUUCACUGGGUUUAAAGGGUGCGUAGGUGGGCAGGUAAGUCAGUGGUGAAAUCUCCGGGCUUAACCCGGAAACUGCCAUUGAUACUAUUUGUCUUGAAUACUGUGGAGGUCAGCGGAAUAUGUCAUGUAGCGGUGAAAUGCUUAGAUAUGACAUAG